UACGGGGGGGGCAAGCGUUGUUCGGAAUUACUGGGCGUAAAGGGUUCGUAGGUGGCCAACUCAGUCAGACGUGAAAUCCCUCAGCUCAACUGGGGAACUGCGUCUGAUACUAGAUGGCUCGAGUGCAGGAGAGGAACGCGGAGUUCCAGGUGUAGCGGUGAAAUGCGUAGAUAUCUGGAGGAACACCGGUGGCGAAGGCGGCGUUCUGGACUGCAACUGACACUGAGGAACGAAAGCCAGGGGAGCAAACGGG
rnacentral:rRNA from 1 species